UACGUAGGGUGCGAGCGUUAAUCGGAAUUACUGGGCGUAAAGCGUGCGCAGGCGGCUUUGCAAGACAGAUGUGAAAUCCCCGGGCUCAACCUGGGAACUGCAUUUGUGACUGCAAGGCUAGAGUACGGCAGAGGGGGAUGGAAUUCCGCGUGUAGCAGUGAAAUGCGUAGAUAUGCGGAGGAACACCAAUGGCGAAGGCAAUCCCCUGAGCCUGUACUGACGCUCAAGCACGAAAACGUGGGGAGCAAACAGG
rnacentral:rRNA from 1 species